UCUGGUGUCAGCCGCCGCGGUAAAACCAGCACCUCAAGUGGUCAGGAUGAUUAUUGGGCCUAAAGCAUCCGUAGCCUGCUUUGUUAGUUUUCGGUUAAAUCCAUACGCUCAACGUAUGGGCUGCCGGGAAUACUGCAAAGCUAGGGAGUGGGAGAGGUAGACGGUACUCGGUAGGAAGGGGUAAAAUCCUUUGAUCUAUUGAUGACCACCUGUGGCGAAGGCGGUCUACCAGAACACGUCCGACGGUGAGGGAUGAAAGCUGGGGGAGCAAACCGGAUUAGAUACCCGGGUAGUCCCAGCUGUAAACUAUGCAAACUCGGUGAUGCAUUGGCUUGAUGCCAAUGCAGUGCCGCAGGGAAGCCGUUAAGUUUGCCGCCUGGGAAGUACGUGCGCAAGUAUGAAACUUAAAGGAAUUGGCGGGGGAGCACCACAAGGGGUGAAGCCUGCGGUUCAAUUGGAGUCAACGCCAGAAAUCUUACCCGGAGAGACAGCAGAAUGAAGGUCAAGCUGAAGACUUUACCAGACAAGCU
rnacentral:rRNA from 2 species